rnacentral:rRNA from 1 species
UGGGGAAUCUUGCACAAUGGGGGAAACCCUGAUGCAGCGACGCCGCGUGAGCGAUGAAGCCCUUCGGGGUGUAAAGCUCUUUCGGCAGGGAAGAUAAUGACGGUACCUGCAGAAGCAGCUGCGGCUAACUACGUGCCAGCAGCCGCGGUAAUACGUAGGCAGCAAGCGUUGUUCGGAGUUACUGGGCGUAAAGGGUGCGUAGGCGGCUCUAUAAGUAUGGUGUGAAAUCUCCCGGCUUAACUGGGAGGGUGCGCUAUAGACUGUGGGGCUAGAGUGUGGGAGAGGAAAGUGGAAUUCCUGGUGUAGCGGUGAAAUGCGUAGAUAUCAGGAGGAACACCGGUGGUGUAAACGGCUUUCUGGACCAUAACUGACGCUGAGGCACGAAAGCGUGGGUAGCAAACA